GGAGAGGUGCCGGAGUGGUCGAACGGGCCGGUUUCGAAAACCGGUGUCCUCGCAAGGGGACCCAGGGUUCGAAUCCCUGCCUCUCCG
rnacentral:tRNA from 1 species